rnacentral:rRNA from 1 species
AUUGAACGCUGGCGGCAUGCCUUACACAUGCAAGUCGAACGGCAGCACGGGGGCGAACCCUGGUGGCGAGUGGCGAACGGGUGAGUAAUACAUCGGAACGUGCCCGGUAGUGGGGAGUAGCUCGGCGAAAGCCGGAUUAAUACCGCAUACGACCCACGGUGAAAGCGGGGAGUCGCAAGACCUCGCGCUAGCGGAGCGGCCGAUGUCAGAUUAGGUUGUUGGUGGGGUAAGGCCUACCAAGCCGACGAUCUGUAGCUGGUCUGAGAGGACGACCAGCCACACU